GCUUGUCUCAAAGAUUAAGCCAUGCAUGUCUAAGUGUAAAUACGUCUACACUGUGAAACUGCGAAUGGCUCAUUAAAUCAGUUAUCGUUUAUUUGAUGAUCUCUUGUUACAUGGAUAACCGUAGUAAUUCUAGAGCUAAUACAUGCGUCAAGCCCCGACUCACGAAGGGGUGUAUUUAUUAGAUUCAAAGCCAACCGUGUAAAAGCGUACCUUGGUGAUUCAUAAUAACCUAUCGGACCGAAUGGCCUUGCGCCGUCGGUGCAUCAUUCAAAUUUCUGCCCUAUCAAUUUGUUGGUAGUAUAUAGGACUACCAAGAUGAUUACGGGUAACGGAGAAUUAGGGUUUGAUUCCGGAGAGGGAGCCUGAGAAACGGCUACCACAUCUAAGGAAGGCAGCAGG
rnacentral:rRNA from 1 species